GCCGGGACAGCACAGUCAGAAAGAUGGUGAAGCCCAAAGCUAUCAGGGAUCUCAAGAGGCCUGUGAAAAUUAUAUCGGUAGCAACUGAUACCAGCGAAACCCCAAAUCACACACUUGAAUCGCUGACCCAAGAGCGCGAAACCAGUGUUUUGAACAGCUUUCUAGAAGUACUGGAUUCCCCGGACUGCUUACUCCUCAGACAUUUCUGGCUUGUUCAAGAGACAAGAUUCCUCCCUGUGUUAACAUAAAUGAAAAGCCAAAACCUAGUGAUCUAAUCUGAUGAAUUCAGGUGCCAGGAGAGUUGGCAGCACGUGAGCCAUGCCUAACCCAGAAGAAUAUUACCCUGUUUAACCUCCUUAUAGAGGUCACAGGGACAGCAAAGCAGGCUUCAACAGGAAAGGUAAAUAAACCUAGCUGCCUAGAACCCGGAGAACCUGCUGUAAUCUGAAAUGAC